rnacentral:miRNA from 1 species
UCUGUGCUCGGGGAGGCAGGGA